UGUAGAUUGAGAUGAGGUCUGGCGUUAGCCAUGCUAGAGGAACCCAAGGCAGAGAGAUGAUUUAUCCCCGUCAUGGUGUCUCUUACAGCAGCUUCCUUUGAGUUUCUAAAAAUAAGUAGGUCGUCGAGGAAAAGAAGAGAACCCACAUUCCCUGACAAAUUUUUGGAGCGCAUGCAAGAGCUCUCAGGGGACAAGCCCAUAAGAUGAAGCCUAGACGGCGUAGCUUACAUCAAAUAUAACUAAAAUGGUGAACAGUGCAGAGCCUAAUGGCUGACCCAGUCCAGCUCCACCUCUCUGCCCCAGCUGAUUUGAUCUUAUGCUGGCCAAUCAACCCGGUUGUGUUUAGGGUGUAUGGUUAGGUUAAUGGGUUAUGGUUAGGUUACAAUUAGGGCAUUUAGCAGACGCUUUUAUCCAAAGUGACUUACAUUGUUCAAUACACACCGAUGGCAGGGUCAACCAUGCAAGGCGACAGCCAGCUCGUGUUAAGUGUCUUGCUCAGGGACACAUCAACACUCAGCUAGGAGGAGCUGGGGAUCGAACUAGCAACCUUACAAGACAAUCGCUCUAUCUCCUGAGCUAGGCCGGCCCGAUGUAGGUUUAUGGUUUAAUGUUCGGCUAGGCCGACCCGAUUUAGGUUUAUGGUUUAAUGUUCGGUUUAUGGUUUUUAUGGUUGGGUUUAGGGGUUAAGGUCAGGGAUACGGCUACGUCCUAUGUCCUUUGCUAACCAAUUUUCCUGAUGAAAGAUGCACCAGGAAAGAUGUGAAGGAGAAUUGAUUUACUGGGGAAAAGAGAACCACUGGUGGUUGACCGUGGAAUCCAACAGAAUUUAAUCUAAACUAUAUAAUAAUUCUACUGAGAAUGUUUGCCGUGGUUGAACUACAAUGCUUCUAAAAUAGCAUCUUAGAUUAUUUGCCCCUUGCGUUCUUACCGGUUAAAUGCAGGCUGUUUAAACGUGAUGAUUUAACCAUUGUUGGAAUUAAUAUUAAAUUAAAACAAAACGGAAAUAGGCUUACAAGCACAAGAGCGAAACCAAUUGGUUGUCACAUUGUAGAAUGGGUGCUCACGCUCUCCCUCCUGUCGACUCUUAUAUUUUUCUUUUAAUGCAACCUUUGAUGCAACUCGAACAUUCCAUCCAAGCCCUUUCACAUUCAAACUCCUCGGCCCGAAAGCUCCACCUCCUUGCAUGACAGUGCUAAACAUUUACAGUAAACGGCUGCGUCCCGUUUAAGAAAGGGGCGGCGGCUGGGACGGUAUUUGAGCUGACAACAUAGCGGUAGAGCGUCAGUUUCGAGUCCGUCGUUGUCCAAAGUGUACUGAAGUCACACGCGGAGGAGUACCGUCUUGUUGGAGGAAUUAAUUUAUUAGUAUCUGCUCAUUAUCUGUUCCGCUGUCUGACGAAGAACUCUCUAGAAGCAUGGCCGUCCAGCAUAAGGGCGCAAGCCAUGAUCUGCCCUCCCCAAACGGGGUGUCGGUCGCGGAGCACGUCGACAUGGAGAACACCAGGGAGCUGAGCCUGAUGAGGGCCUUCGCCCAGCGGAGACGCCCCGUAAGCACAAGACCGGUCGCCCUGGGCAACGGGACGUCGGCUAACGGGCCAGCUGCGGUUCCUCCUUCCUCUGUGGAGGAAGAAGAACCCAAGAAAAAGAAGAAGAAGAAGAAUUUCCUGAAACGACUCCGUGAGUUAAUCUCAUGUGUACCCAGGGGUGCUGAAGCAGACGACGGAGAACCAGCUGGGCCGGGCUUCAGGAACAGUGGCGUGUCCCCGGCAUGUCAGAAUAAGGGGAAGACGCAACAAAGCAAGAGUGUCGAUGUGCUAACGACCAAGCUAAUUGAGAUAGCCAACAGCUCCUUCAUUCCUCCGGAAAUAGAGUCUGAUGCAGAAGAGGGGGAAAUAGAGAAGUUGGCGGGCCUGUUGCUCAGGCAAUGCGGCGACACGGUGGAACAGGAUUAUGACUGCGCCAAGAAGUUCACGGAGAUGCUGAGCAGCUACAGCAUGUUCGGCAAAUUGAUGUCCAAGAUCUUCCUCAAGAUCGGCCUCCCGACCAACGACCCUGGGGACCGGGGACCCAAGGGUUCAGACGAGAUCCAGACCAACAUUGCUGUCACCUGCGAGGUGGCCACUAGGCUGUCUGCUAUGGACACCCAUCCAAUGAACCGCGCUCUCGGGUUCGGUGCUCGGUACCUGAAAGAGCACUAUCCUCUGGAGGAAGCGUUGAAUGCAGACGAGGACCAAGAUAUUGACACGGACGUCGAGUGAGAGACGGGUCUCUUUGUUGGUUUGAGGGUGACAACUUUUAUACCACUACCAAGUGGCAGUGCCAAGAUCACAAGGAACACAUCACAGUAUGCAAGACUUUUUAAGUUAAUUUCUCAGGGAAAGAGAAUGAGAAAUGUGCCAAUGGGAUUGUCCUAAUUUUGCACAAAAAAAUGGCAACCUCUUGUGUUUAGUUUAGUCUUUCUAGUGCCAUGAUCCAAAAAAAGAAGCUGCUUGUUGUCCUUUACACUGAGGUAAUCUAAUAUGGUUAUCUAACCAAAUUAUCUUAUGUUGAGAUAAUAUUAUUUGGUUGUGAAGUGGCCAAAAUCCUGGCCAUCCAUUAGUUAUCGUUAUUUAACCAUGUAUUUUUGAAUCUUUAUGUGAAGAGAGUGUGCUGGAAUGAAUAGCUUCUCUAUUCUGAACGAUAACUUACCAGUGGUCACUCCAAAGCAAUAGCUUUGGGAAGGAGUGUUAUCAAUGUACAUUUUUUUGCUAUUGAAACCGAUUUACCCAUAGCAAUGACUCUUGGUCACUUUUGUGUCAACAGUUUUACUAUAUAUGGGAAUAAAUCUGAUUUUCAUCUCCCGGUUAUUCUUUGUUGAUUAUUUGGCUGUGUGUAACAUUGAAAUAGCUGUUAAACUCUGAAAUGAUUGUGCCUCAUCAAAAUCCCCUGCUGAAAGAGUCAUCGCUCACGCAAAUUAGUUUUCCUCUGUAAAGUAUGAGCAAUAAAACCAAACGGGGAACAAGGUGUAACUCCCUUCAGCUUCUGUGGUCAGGCGCAGGCUCUGUGCUUUCUCCCUCCCAGGUGUUCUGCUAGAUCAAAGCACAACUGCAGGUUGCGAGAUUAGUAUCUUGAUGGCUGUGAUACUUUCUUUGAAGACUGUUGUUCCAACUGUUGACCAGUUUUUGCUUGAUUAUUAGAGGCACUGCCAAAUGGUUACCAAGCUGACCUGCCUCUCAGGACUCAACAGCAGUGUUUCCCCAGGAUUUUU
ensembl:lncRNA